CUCUCUCUCUCUCUCUCUCUCUGCUAUAAAUAAAGCUGAUCGGUUGUAACAGAUUAUAGAAUAUGCUAGUGUGGUCCAUAACCAACUUGAAUGGUUCUACCACUAGUACUGCAAUUGAGAUCUGAAGGAAUGAAGAAUUUUUUCAAGUCCUGUCAUGCUUUUCCACAGCUUUCUUGAACUUCAUCUCUUGUUCCCUCUCCAUCUCCCUCUCUCUCUCUGCGUGGAUCAACUGUGGGAGUUCAAGAAAGCUGUGGGAAGACAUGGCAAAUCGAGGACUUCUCGUGGCGGUCAUGACCUCCAUUUCGCCGCCUGAAUCUAUACGAAGGCAUGGUAAUUCUCACUCCUGAUGCAUAAUUCAAACCCAUUUUGCCAUUUUUCUUCAGCGACUUGGAAAGAAACUUUAGAGGCUGUAAUUUUUCAUAAAUUUUCUGAAUUCUACUCCCUUCAUGCCAAAUGGGACGGGAUCCUCUCUCGUUAUUGUUCAGGGCAGUUCACAUUUUUCUCACAACACAACAUACGCUUAGUCGCUUAUCGAUAAUUAAGUCUAUUCUUGUCGGAUUUACACUUUGCGAGACAUCUCUAGCAACUACCCCCAACAGUUACUUACUGGAGAGAGGAUCCAUUCCCAUCCCAAAUUGUUGGCGCCUUUUCAAUAAUUAUGCUCCCAAAUUGUUGGCGCCUUUUCAAUAAUUAUGCCAUUUUUUUGAUAAAUAAGUGCUUUUGAAAAUAUCUUCAAAUUCUUUUUACACCGAUUGAGAGAUCUCAAUUAAUUCUUUGAAUUGUGCUAAGAAAUAUGACAAAAAUGUCCAUGAAAGUGCUUUAUUUUAAAUGAAAAUGUCAGUUUUUAAAAAGGGACCAACAAUUUGGGACGAAAGGAGUACCACAAUUGCAGAGAAAAUUCAAGGUAAAAUGUCAAGAAAGUAUAUCUUCCCAUUUACCAGAAAAAAAAAAAAAAACGUAUAUCUUCCCGAAUUCACCUGAAUUCUUGCAUUUUUCAGUGUAAAUUGUGUCCAAGUUUGAUCCAUGAUGCGGGUUCUUACUAAUUUUCCGUAAAAUUCUACCAGAUUUGGAGUAAAUAAUUCAUGGUACAAUUAUCCACCAUCUACUUGAAUUCUUGCAAUUUUUUUCCAGUUUAAAAUGUGAUUGAAGCCAAAUUAUGAUGUGGGUCUCAUGGUUUUCUAGCUUUCUCGUUGGCCCAAGACUUAGUGAUUUGCUCACUCUUACAUUCUAAGAUUCAAAACUUCUGCUAUCAACUCUUUCGGGGUUUGUCCAUACAGAGCAUUUGUUUCUGCUUCAAGCGGGCUUCUCGCUAGUGAACGGUGGGUUUAUGGCCUCCAAAAUUAGUUGAAGUGCAUGUAAGCUGACCAUAACUUGGUUAUAAAAAAAAUACAAUUAUUAAGUAAAUUUCACUUCUACUUUUUUGAGCCUUAUGCAGGAUAGUAUAUUUUUGUCCACUCAUCUGAGAUUUCGUACUUCUUAAUUGUCAAGCCAAAAUCAGGAAUGGGCACUUCUCUGUUUUUUUUGUGUGUUUUUUGGAAACUGGUUUUAUGAUGAAUUAUGGUGAGAGUCUCAUGGUUAUUUUUACCUUUUUUUUUGCCAAAAAAUUCCACCACAUUUGGAACAAAAGUUCCUUGAAAUACAACAUUUACCCAGGAAACCUUUGUUUUACUACAACAGAUUUUACCUAGGAUGUCUGACUGUCAGUAAAGGUGAAUAAUCCAUUCAGAAAAGUUGUAUUGAGCCCAAGGGUCAAUCUGUUUAGUUGGUGGGUUUGCUCUCCACGCAAUCGACUUUCGAUUCUUGAGUUUAGGCGAGUCAGAAUUUCUGGUAAAUUUCCUAUUCUCGGCAGUCGGCACAGAUGGUCUGUCUUUCGACCUGACCGAGGAGGCAAUUAGUUGAGAUGCGCGUAAACUGGUCAGGACACUCCAGGCUGUUGAACCAUACCGAAAUCAAUAUUUUCAUGUUCCAUUUUCUUGAUUUUCCAAAAAUGUUAGUAACAUUGUGUUGUUUUUUAAAGAACUCUGAGCACUGAUCAAUCAAAGUGGAGAAAAGUGGGAGAUAUGUCUGAGACAAGACUCCCCUACCCCCUUUCCCUCUUUAUCACCAAUAAUUGAUAAAAAUUCAUCUUGUUUCCCUUUUGUUUUUGGCUCUUUUUGAUCGCCUCCAUUUCUGUGAAAAAAGAGGGUUAAAUUUUGUCACUAUUUUAAGAUAACAUUUUUACACCUCUCUCUCUCUCUCUCUCUCUCUCUCUCUCUCUCUGCACCACACACAUGCAAAGAUGAUCACCUGAUGAGGCUGUUGAAUUAGGUAAGGGAAUUUAUAGUAUAAAACUGUAAGCUGUCACUGCAUUUUCCAACCUGUUUAGCUGAAUGAUCUACACAUUUUUUACCACAAUAAUUCUCUAGGCCUCUUUUAUUUUAAUUUUUUUAAGGGGAUAACUAUGUGGGCCACUGUGCAUAUAAAUGGUUGGACUGCAUCAGAUUCUCUGAAAUACUCAUAAAAGUUAGAAAUUAUACUUGUCCUUUUCUUAAAUGUUCUGUAAGUCCCCAGAUUUUACUGCUGCAUUGGGUCAGACUGAGAGUCAAUAUUCUGAGUUCUUCAUUUUUGCGACCAAAACGCGAAAAUCAGUGACAAAAUUGCCGGACAACGUGAUAGAAUCGUUGGAGAAGGAGUGGCGGAGAGAGGCGGCUGGUACUAGUUGUAUGGGGUGAGGAAGAGGAUGGGGUGAUGGAGAAAAAAGAGAAAACUCCUGGAUUUAAGAUCGGGGGAGAAGGAGCGGCGGAGAGAGGCGGCUGGUACUGGUGGUAUGGGGAGGAGGAGGAUGGGGUGAUGGAGGAAAAGAGAGAAAACUCCCGGAUUUAGGAUUGGGGGAGGCAGGUCACCCGAAGGGGGAGAAAUCCCUCUCCUCCUCCCACUGCCGCAUAAGACGGUGGGGGCGGCGGCUAGGGUUUGGUGAGGAGAGGAGAGGGAACCGAUUUAUUGGAGAUCUUAUUUCAUUAAUUUACAUACCAAAAGUGUUGUACAGAAUUGGGACACAAAUAACCUACACAAAGUAUGGGUAGUAAUUUUUGUA